rnacentral:rRNA from 1 species
UACGUAGGGUGCAAGCGUUGUCCGGAAUUAUUGGGCGUAAAGAGCUCGUAGGCGGUUUGUCGCGUCUGCUGUGAAAACGCGAGGCUCAACCUCGCGCCUGCAGUGGGUACGGGCAGACUAGAGUGCGGUAGGGGAGAUUGGAAUUCCUGGUGUAGCGGUGGAAUGCGCAGAUAUCAGGAGGAACACCGAUGGCGAAGGCAGAUCUCUGGGCCGUAACUGACGCUGAGGCACGAAAGCGUGGGGAGCAAACAGG